AUGGCUUACUUUUCUAUUUCUAUCGUCGCCGUGCUGCUUUUUGUCUGUGGAGCCAAUGGAUUCUACCCAACAAGCCAAGAGUCGGCUUAUCACCGGUUGCAAGCGUUUGAAUCGGCUGGUUACUAUGGAGUGAGCGUGACCAUGGAUGUGUACGCGUUGUCGCUAAGCAACAAUCAAUACAGUUCGGCUGGUGUCCAAGUCUCUAGUGGAGAAGACGGUGCAGCCGAUGAGAACGCCAUCAAAAUCGGGUGGGAGGUUUUCCCACGCAUGUACGGUGAUUCACGCACCCAUUUAGGUGCUGUUUGGACGACUAAUGGCUCCGAAAAGCGCUGUGGCAACACAAAAUGUCCAGGUUUCCAGCCUGAGGCUGGCGCGACCUUAGUUCUUGGCGACAUCAUUGAAUCCGUCUCCCGGCCCAACGGAACCAAGCAAACCAUCACAAUCAAACUCCUCAAGGAUGGUGCAUCGGGAGACUGGAUGGUGCAUUGCGGACUUAACCAGCGUGACCCUACGUUAAUCGGUCGUUACCCCAAGUCGUUGUUCACUGGUGUCUUGGCAGAUCGGGCAACCCACAUCCAUGUUGGAGGUGUGGUGGUUGCCUGGACUGGAGAUCUUGUUCCAAUGGGCAGCGGCUAUCUCCCAACAGACAAGGCCAUGGCCACGGCCAUGGCGGCAACCUUCAGCAACAUCCAAAUCGUUGACCUGAACGGCCAAGCUUCGCUCUUGUCCCCCAACUUGUCCGGGUAUAUGAGUAGCCCGGACACAUACUCUGUGAGUUCCGUGAUCAAUGGCAAGUUCUUCUAUGGUGGGCCCUUCCAGUUGACCGCUUGA
rnacentral:rRNA from 1 species